UACGUAGGUGGCAAGCGUUGUCCGGAAUUAUUGGGCGUAAAGAGCGUGUAGGCGGCCAGGUAGGUCCGCUGUGAAAACUCGAGGCUCAACCUCGAGAUGUCGGCGGAAACCAUCUGGCUAGAGUCCGGAAGAGGAGAGUGGAAUUCCCGGUGUAGCGGUGAAAUGCGCAGAUAUCGGGAAGAACACCCGUGGCGAAGGCGGCUCUCUGGGACGGUACUGACGCUGAGACGCGAAAGCGUGGGGAGCGAACAGG
rnacentral:rRNA from 1 species